rnacentral:tRNA from 1 species
GGGUGUAUGACUGAGUGGUUUAAGGUAUAAUAUUUGAGCUAUUAAGGUUUAAUUACCCACGUGUUCGAAUCACGUUGCACCCG